AUGAGGGGGUGGGGGAGGCUCAGGACGGCGGGCAGCAGAGCAACUAACUGCCCAGGGGAGGUGCGCACACUCGCUCGCACCCCCCGGUGCCCAGGUGAGGCUCUGCCUUGGCUGUGCAGCUCUGCUUCUCCGCAGGGUAAAGAGAAGCCCCUGCACCCCCUCCCCGCCCCCAGAAACCAAACUUUAACACAUGAGAAAGGGAGGCUGGCCGCCACCAGGGAAUGCCCGGGCAGGGAGAAGCAGGGCUCCAGGGAGGGUCUCGGCUGCCAGCAGCCCUCCCCACGGUCCCCACCUGCGUGCUCACCUCCCAGCCCCGCCGCCUCCAGACGAGGGCAGACAAGGAGGCCCAGGCCACGGGUGGGUCAGGGACCCCGUCACCAUCCUCCCCAGCUUCUCGCAUUCCACACCCGCCACCAUCCCGGCGAGUCAAGUCAUCAAGCAGACGAGGACUGGCCGGGCCGGACAGAGGCCCGCGGAGGCCGGCACCUGCCCCGGGGCCGCAGAGGUGAGAGCGCCACCUCAGCCUCCACGCUGGCUGGCGUGGGCCCAGGCCUCAGGGUCACACGGGUCCUUGGCUGUGGCCCACCCACCAAGACCACCCCCCUUGCCCUCCCCCCAAGCUCGCAGAGCCCGACAGGCGGAGGCCAGAGGCCUCCCACACUGAGCCAGGCACCUGAGCAGCUCCGCCCAGACCACAGCCUGGACGGGCAUCACGCGUACAAGCCGGUUUUAACUGCACUAACAAAUGUUUGCCUGGAAUCCUUUUUUUUUUUUUUUUUUUCAAACAGAGAAGGGCAGCCUGCCAGAAUCUGCCAAUUCAAAAAUGUGCUUAUGGGACCUUCCCCUGCCGCCCCAAGGAGAGAGCCACAGAUGCGGGCUGGUCCUCGGAGAGGCGGGAGCACAAACACAGGUUCCCACCAGGCCCUCCAGAUGGCACCCAGCAACCCCCCCCCAGGGCCCAGGGCACCGGGCGGGGCACCAACAGCCAAGCCCCAUCAGCCCCACCGGCCACAGGACCAUGGGGUGGGGCGUCGCCUAGCAGAGGGACAGCGGGCCCUGUGUCUGUCGCAUGGCACAUGGCCCCCACACUGGGCUCUGACGAGGGUACUGUCUAGGGGUCUGGGUGGCCCCCUGCCCCAUGUCCACGGGGACCAUGCAGCCUGUGGCUCCUUCUGA
rnacentral:lncRNA from 1 species